GCUUACGGCCAUACCACCCUGAGCACGCCCGAUCUCGUCUGAUCUCGGAAGCUAAGCAGGGUCGGGCCUGGUUAGUACUUGGAUGGGAGACCGCCUGGGAAUACCAGGUGCAGUAAGCU
ensembl:rRNA 5S_rRNA 5S ribosomal RNA